rnacentral:lncRNA from 1 species
UUAGUUAUGCUGGUCCCAUAAAACUUUAUUAAAUAUGGACAUUUUAUAGCUGAACCUCUUAUUACUGGUUUGCACUUUGUAGUCUCAAUUUGUUGGGUGAUGUUUGUUGUUGCGGUUAUCGUGUGACAGUGACUAUGCUUUUUAGGGUAACCAAAUCGUAGAAUUCAAUUCAUAAGUCUUAAUGCGUUCACCUGAAUAGAAUCUUCCUGAUGCAAGGGAACACUAGGAUUUUGAAUAUCAUCAAACUAAUUUAUUUUGGAUGUUUGACACUGCAAACCUGUUUUUUUAAUGGGAAGACUCAGUAUCCUAAUAAAAUUCUUGCUCAAGGUGAAGAGCUGGUUAUUGGAAC